CUUUAGGCUACUUUAUAGGCACGUGACCGGAAGUGUCCCUUGCUAUUGGUUACUGCCAGUAAGGCCCGCCCAACCGCCUCCUGUCAGCUCCUUAAGUAGAAGCCGGAGGAAGCUGCUCAGUCUUUCGGGGACCGUGACGCUGGGAAGGUUCCGGCCGGGCCGAGGACGUCGCAUCUCCCUGUCCUCCUCCCCUUGGACCAUUCCCUGAAGCCCCUCAAUAAAAUGGUUUGAUCCCAGCG